ensembl:misc_RNA
CCCUCACGAUGGCCGUGCCUGUCGGUUACAUGGAGCUCCAUUCAAGGAUUUUCGGAGCCUUUUGGAUUUACAGUGAUAUUCAGCUGCCUGGGGAA